rnacentral:rRNA from 1 species
GAUGAACGCUGGCGGCGUGCCUAAUACAUGCGAGUCGAGCGAACAGACGAGGAGCUUGCUCCUCUGACGUUAGCGGCGGACGGGUGAGUAACACGUGGAUAACCUACCUAUAAGACUGGGAUAACUUCGGGAAACCGGAGCUAAUACCGGAUAAUAUAUUGAACCGCAUGGUUCAAUAGUGAAAGACGGUUUUGCUGUCACUUAUAGAUGGAUCCGCGCCGCAUUAGCUAGUUGGUAAGGUAACGGCUUACCAAGGCGACGAUGCGUAGCCGACCUGAGAGGGUGAUCGGCCACACUGGAACUGAGACACGGUCCAGACUCCUACGGGAGGCAGCAGUAGGGAAUCUUCCGCAAUGGGCGAAAGCCUGACGGAGCAACGCCGCGUGAGUGAUGAAGGUCUUCGGAUCGUAAAACUCUGUUAUUAGGGAAGAACAAAUGUGUAAGUAACUAUGCACGUCUUGACGGUACCUAAUCAGAAAGCCGCGGCUAACUACGUG